rnacentral:rRNA from 1 species
GUCUACGGCCAUUUCACCCUGAAAGCGCCCGAUCUCAUGUUAUCUCGGAAACUAAGCAGGGACAGGCCUGGUUAGUACCUGGAUGGGAGACCGCCUGGGAAUACCAGGUGUUGAAGGCU